GCACAGCUGAGGAGUUCCACAAUAGGACGAAAUGGCCAUCCAGUGC
rnacentral:hammerhead_ribozyme from 1 species